rnacentral:rRNA from 1 species
GAUGAACGCUGGCGGCGUGCCUAAUACAUGCAAGUCGAGCGAACAGACGAGGAGCUUGCUCCUCUGACGUUAGCGGCGGACGGGUGAGUAACACGUGGAUAACCUACCUAUAAGACUGGGAUAACUUCGGGAAACCGGUGCUAAUACCGGAUAAUAUAUUGAACCGCAUGGUUCAAUAGUGAAAGACGGUUUUGCUGUCACUUAUAGAUGGAUCCGCGCCGCAUUAGCUAGUUGGUAAGGUAACGGCUUACCAAGGCAACGAUGCGUAGCCGACCUGAGAGGGUGAUCGCCCACACUGGAACUGAGACACGGUCCAGACUCCUACGGGAGGCAGCAGUAGGGAAUCUUCCGCAAUGGGCGAAAGCCUGACGGAGCAACGCCGCGUGAGUGAUGAAGGUCUUCGGAUCGUAAAACUCUGUUAUUAGGGAAGAACAAAUGUGUAAGUAACUAUGCACGUCUUGACGGUACCUAAUCAGAAAGCCACGGCUAACUACGUG